rnacentral:lncRNA from 1 species
GUGGACGUGAAAAGCAUGAGGCUACCAAUAACGUCCAACUAUUUCGAAGAGCUGCACCAACCACAAACAGUGACAUCGGCAGCAAAUUUCAAAUCAUAAGCCACACCAUUUCCAGGCCAAGGAAAUGCAAUGCAGGUCAUUAGAAUUCAAAACAUGCUCCUUCCUACUCGACGUAUUUAUUUGUAGCAUCUCUGCCAUCCUUACUUUGGUAUUUUCCAUUCCACUCAUAAUAAUCUUCGCAUUGUUCCACUCUAUAUCAACAUCAUGUUCGUAUACCCUAGUCGCCAGAGCUGUGUUGAACGAACCUAUUUUUAUGUCAUUUUUGUGUUCC